ACCCUUUAAUGUUUGAUGUUCUAACGUGGACCCGUGAUCCGGGUUGCGGACAGUGUCUGGUGGGUAGUUUGACUGGGGCGGUCUCCUCCUAAAGAGUAACGGAGGAGCACGAAGGUUGGCUAAUCCUGGUCGGACAUCAGGAGGUUAGUGCAAUGGCAUAAGCCAGCUUGACUGCGAGCGUGACGGCGCGAGCAGGUGCGAAAGCAGGUCAUAGUGAUCCGGUGGUUCUGAAUGGAAGGGCCAUCGCUCAACGGAUAAAAGGUACUCCGGGGAUAACAGGCUGAUACCGCCCAAGAGUUCAUAUCGACGGCGGUGUUUGGCACCUCGAUGUCGGCUCAUCACAUCCUGGGGCUGAAGUAGGUCCCAAGGGUAUGGCUGUUCGCCAUUUAAAGUGGUACGCGAGCUGGGUUUAGAACGUCGUGAGACAGUUCGGUCCCUAUCUGCCGUGGGCGCUGGAGAACUGAGGGGGGCUGCUCCUAGUACGAGAGGACCGGAGUGGACGCAUCACUGGUGUUCGGGUUGUCAUGCCAAUGGCACUGCCCGGUAGCUAAAUGCGGAAGAGAUAAGUGCUGAAAGCAUCUAAGCACGAAACUUGCCC
rnacentral:rRNA from 2 species